rnacentral:snRNA from 1 species
GUGCUCACUUCGGCAGCACAUAUACCAAAAUUGGAAUAAUACAGAGAAGAUCGGUAUGGCCCCUGCGCAAGGAUGAUGCAAACUCGUGAAACAUUCCACAUUUUC